rnacentral:rRNA from 1 species
AUUGAACGCUGGCGGCAGGCCUAACACAUGCCAGUCGAGCGGAUGAAGGGAGCUUGCUCCUGGAUUCAGCGGCGGACGGGUGAGUAAUGCCUAGGAAUCUGCCUGGUAGUGGGGGAUAACGUCCGGAAACGGGCGCUAAUACCGCAUACGUCCUGAGGGAGAAAGUGGGGGAUCUUCGGACCUCACGCUAUCAGAUGAGCCUAGGUCGGAUUAGCUAGUUGGUGGGGUAAAGGCCUACCAAGGCGACGAUCCGUAACUGGCCUGAGAGGAUGAUCAGUCACACUGGAACUGAGACACGGUCCAGACUCCUACGGGAGGCAGCAGUGGGGAAUAUUGGACAAUGGGCGAAAGCCUGAUCCAGCCAUGCCGCGUGUGUGAAGAAGGUCUUCGGAUUGUAAAGCACUUUAAGUUGGGAGGAAGGGCAGUAAGUUAAUACCUUGCUGUUUUGACGUUACCAACAGAAUAAGCACCGGCUAACUUCGUG